GACGAACGCUGGCGGCGUGCUUAACACAUGCAAGUCGAACGGAAGGGCCCUGCUUUUGUGGGGUGCUCGAGUGGCGAACGGGUGAGUAACACGUGAGUAACCUGCCCUUGACUUUGGGAUAACUUCAGGAAACUGGGGCUAAUACCGGAUAGGAGCUCCUGCUGCAUGGUGGGGGUUGGAAAGUUUCGGCGGUUGGGGAUGGACUCGCGGCUUAUCAGCUUGUUGGUGGGGUAGUGGCUUACCAAGGCUUUGACGGGUAGCCGGCCUGAGAGGGUGACCGGCCACAUUGGGACUGAGAUACGGCCCAGACUCCUACGGGAGGCAGCAGUGGGGAAUAUUGCACAAUGGGCGGAAGCCUGAUGCAGCAACGCCGCGUGCGGGAUGACGGCCUUCGGGUUGUAAACCGCUUUCGCCUGUGACGAAGCGUGAGUGACGGUAAUGGGUAAAGAAGCACCGGCUAACUACG
rnacentral:rRNA from 1 species